AUUUUUAUUCCAAUGAAUAAGUAGAAAUUAUAAAAUUAAAUAUUUGAAAUGAAAUUACAUCAUUGAUACUUCAACAAAAAUUUAUGUGAAUUUCAGAUGGAGUGUUUGUAGAUAGAUGUAUUCAAAGAAACAAAGAAACUGUUUAUUUUAUAUUAAAACUUUACAAAUUGCAACAACAUUCACCCCCUAAACACGAGCCACCUUUUGGUUUUCCCAAU
rnacentral:lncRNA from 1 species